AGGAGACUGCAAUCUCGCUGCUAUUUCUGUCUUUUGCCGUGUGUAAGAUGACUAUCGUUCCGCAGGCAGACAGGCUUUUAUUUGCCAUCUGCAGGUCACUGUCAAAAUCUGCUCAAAACAUUUCUUCCCACAGAAGCGGAGCUAAUUUCCAAGGCCGGAGUCUAAAAAUGUUCCGGCUGCUAUGCAAGAAAAAUGGGAAUGAGAUUAUGACCAAAAUGGAACGUGUCUCAGGCUCUGGCCUCGUUUUCAAGUCUGGAUAUACUGUACCUCCGCAGGGAUUCUUGAGAACAUCCUGUACAUCAGAGUAAAACAGUUCCACAUGCAGCAGAACAAUCCAUCGAGAAGAAAUGGCACCCUCUGAGGCCCUCACUGUACCUUAACGAAUCUACAGCACUAAUCAGCAUCAGCGUUUUGGCUCAACGAGUCCGACAAAAUCGGAAGACAAUGCUGUGUUGUUCUUGGCCCGGAGUCAGCGUCGAUCUGCUACGCUUUACUCAACUCAGAUUCAAUCAGGUUUGAUAUUUCCACUAUUCCAACACAAAAAAAGUGCUGGAAAAUGUGACUUUUGGAUGAUAAGACAAUAGUUGGCUGAGAUUAUAAACACAUUUUGACAAAUGAGGUUUAAUAAACACGUCUGC